CUCCCUACAACGCUUGUUCGACGCCGUGUCAUAUUAACACAAUCGCUCUGUCAACGUCUUCCAGGAUGCCAGCAGUCUGAUAAAGUCAAUCUGACAAUAAUGUGGCUCAUGUGUUUUGAUCUCAGAAAUGUUACCGUGUCCAGAAUUUAGUUGAAGUGUACUUCUUUAGGUUGCAAAGUAAAUUGACUUGCUCCUCCUCUCUGCUCUAAUCUGCUCAAGACUAUGUAGUAGUAUGUAUACAGUAUGCUUCUGUUAUGCCCUUGGUGGAUGAUAUCGUUGGAUUGUAAAUCUAUGUAGUCUUAAAGGGUUAAGUACUUGGAAUUCGCUUAGGCAUUGGAAGAUCCUAUUUAGUUUGUUAUGAAAUUCGAGUUCUUGCGGAAAAGCAAAUUUGCAGGUGGAAUGGCAUAAUUCUCGAUAAAGAAAAAAAAAACAACUUGAUAUACGAGAGUCGUGAAGAAUUAUCAAACUGCUUCAAACCAAAAGACAUCUGGAACGUGUAUCGUUCUUACAUUUUCAUCUUUUGGUUGAAGCAAGUUGAUAACUCUUUUUGUCUCUCGAAACCGUGUACCAGUUUCCGCAUGUAUAUAUCAUAUCCGAAACUGAAUGAUCCAAGAAGAGCUCAUCAGCUACUGAAGCUUGAAGUAAUAGCUGAAGCAUAUACUUGGUGGAAUGUAUAAUGACGACUCUGAUAUACGAAAAUCUUGCAAAGGGUUAUUUUGGCUCACAUGGUGUUUUUUUAGCAAGAAUGAUACGAUCCUUUCCCUAAUCUAAAUGGAACCGGUUUGUUCAUAGAUGAAAUCCGAGUUAGAGUAACAGGGUUUGGUUCUUAGUCAUCCUCGCUUACUCUCACUCAUUUCACUUCUUUAGUGAUAGCAUGAUAGGUUGAUUUGGUUCAGGUGAAUGCAUAUUCUGGUUGGUUACUCUUAUCUAUUGUGGAAAACUAGUAUUAUUAACAAUAUAUAAUCAUUUCCCGUA